CCUACGGGGGGCAGCAGUGGGGAAUAUUGCACAAUGGGGGAAACCCUGAUGCAGCGACGCCGCGUGAGUGAGGAAGUAUUUCGGUAUGUAAAGCUCUAUCAGCAGGGAAGAAAAUGACGGUACCUGACUAAGAAGCCCCGGCUAACUACGUGCCAGCAGCCGCGGUAAUACGUAGGGGGCAAGCGUUAUCCGGAUUUACUGGGUGUAAAGGGAGCGGAGACGGCGAUGCAAGUCUGAAGUGAAAGGCGGGGGCCCAACCCCUGGACUGCUUUUGAAACUGGAUGGCUGGAGUGCAGGAGAGGUAAGUGGAAUUCCUAGUGUAGCGGUGAAAUGCGUAGAUAUUAGGAGGAACACCAGUGGCGAAGGCGGCCUGCUGGACGACAACUGACGUUGAGGCGCGAAAGCGUGGGGAGCAAACAGGAUUAGAUACCCGAGUAGUC
rnacentral:rRNA from 1 species